GCAUUCAAGGAAGGAGCAGGCGCGCAAUUACCCAAUCCUGACUCAGGGAGGUAGUGACAAGAAAUAACAAUAAACCGGCUUAUGCCGGUUUAAUUGGAAUGAGUACAAUUUAAACAUCUUAACGAGGAACAAUUGGAGGGCAAGUCUGGUGCCAGCAGCCGCGGUAAUUCCAGCUCCAAUAGCGUAUACUAAAGUUGUUGCAGUUAAAAAGCUCGUAGUUGGAUUUCUGUGGGGACGGAGCGGCCGGCCGCACAUCGCGGUUCGAGCUAGCGCUUUCCCUACAUCCUGCCGCGAACCGUGCUACCAUUAGUUUGGUGGCGCCGGGGAUCGGCUCGAUUACUUUGAGAAAAAUAGAGUGUUCAAAGCAGGCCACAUGCCUUGAAUAAGUUAGCAUGGAAUAAUAACUAAGGACUUCGGUUCUAUUUUGUUGGUGUUCGGGACUGAAGUAAUGAUUGAUAGGGACAGUUGGGGCGGUCUGUAUUCCAAAGCGAGAGGUGAAAUUCUUAGACCUUCGGAAGACAAACAGCUGCGAAAGCGUUCCGCAAGGAUGUUCCCUUUGAUCAAGAACGAAAGUUGGGGGAUCGAAGACGAUCAGAUACCGUCGUAGUCUCAACUAUAAACUAUACCAGCUAGGGAUCGGCCAACGUUAUUUCAUACCGACUUGGUCGGCACCUUAUGAGAAAUCAAAGCAUCUGGGUUCCGGGGGGAGUAUGGUCGCAAGGCUGAAACUUAAAGGAAUUGACGGAAGGGCACCACCAGCCGUGGAGCCUGUGGCUUAAUUUGACUCAACACGGGAAAACUUACCAGGUCCAGACAUAGUAAGGAUUGACAGAUUGAUAGCUCUUUCUUGAUUCUGUGGGUGGUGGUGCAUGGCCGUUCUUAGUUGGUGGAGUGAUUUGUCUGGUUAAUUCCGUUAACGAACGAGACCCCAGCCUGCUAAAUAGCGCGCGUGAGCUUUGCUCGCGGCGAGCUUCUUAGAGGGACUAUGAUGCGCGAUAGCACAUGGAAGUUUGGGGCAAUAACAGGUCUGUGAUGCCCUUAGAUGUUCUGGGCCGCACACGGGCUACACUGGCGCCUGCAACGAGCAUAUCAGCUGGCCCGAGAGGGUCUUGGCUAAUCUUUUGAACCGGCGCCGUGCUUGGGAUUGACCUUUGCAAUUGUUGGUCAUGCAACGAGGAAUGCCUUGUAAACGCGAGUCAUCAGCUCGCAUUGAAUACGUCCCUGCCCUUUGUACACACCGCCCGUCGCUCCUACCGAUGAAUGUUCCGAUGAAAUUUUCGGAGAGCACCUGUGAACUUGGCUCUGCCUUGCGAACGGGAGGCUCAAAGUCACUAAAUCUGAACAUUUAAG
rnacentral:rRNA from 1 species